rnacentral:rRNA from 1 species
UAGAGUUUGAUCCUGGCUCAGGAUGAACGCUGGCGGCGUGCCUAAUACAUGCAAGUCGAACGCACAGCGAAAGGUGCUUGCACCUUUCAAGUGAGUGGCGAACGGGUGAGUAACACGUGGAUAACCUACCUCAAGGUUGGGGAUAACAUUUGGAAACAGAUGCUAAUACCGAAUAAAACUUAGUAUCGCAUGAUACCAGGUUAAAAGGCGCUACGGCGUCACCUAGAGAUGGAUCCGCGGUGCAUUAGUUAGUUGGUGGGGUAAAGGCUUACCAAGACAAUGAUGCAUAGCCGAGUUGAGAGACUGAUCGGCCACAUUGGGACUGAGACACGGCCCAAACUCCUACGGGAGGCUGCAGUAGGGAAUCUUCCACAAUGGGCGAAAGCCUGAUGGAGCAACGCCGCGUGUGUGAUGAAGGCUUUCGGGUCGUAAAGCACUGUUGUAUGGGAAGAACAGCUAGAGUAGGGAAUGACUUUAGUUUGACGGUACCAUACCAGAAAGGGACGGCUAAAUACGUGCCAGCAGCCGCGGUAAUACGUAUGUCCCGAGCGUUAUCCGGAUUUAUUGGGCGUAAAGCGAGCGCAGACGGUUAAUUAGGUCUGAUGUGAAAGCCCGGAGCUCAACUCCGGAAAGGCAUUGGAAACUGGUUAACUUGAGUGCAGUAGAGGUAAGUGGAACUCCAUGUGUAGCGGUGGAAUGCGUAGAUAUAUGGAAGAACACCAGCGGCGAAGGCGGCUUACUGGACUGUAA